GGGCAGGGGCAGGCCUGAUGGGGGUGGAGGGGCUCGGACGUGCGGACUGGAGGCAGCCGGGGCUAACGCUGCAGCCAGAGUGGGGUUUCUUGGGGCCUCUUGCGGCUGGAGAACUUGAGAUGGGGCUCCACCGCGCAGCCCCGGGCCCCCUGUGUGCGAGUGUCCCAGGUGCUUGCGGUAGACCGGAAAGGUGGUAUAACCUGCGCUCCUGACUCCAUUGCCGGCACCUCCUGCGCAGGGGACUGACCUGGGGCAGCCAGCGUGCGGUCCCCAGGCUGCCGGGGACAAGGGUCCCAGGAGCUCACGGAGGGGCCCAGGUACAGGCAGAAUGCAUCCUUCUCAGGCUCAGUAACACUUUCAAACUUGGAGAAACUCGUCUUCGGACUAAACAUUCUCUAGGGUGUCAUGGAAUGGAUUGAGGGUAUUUCACUUUUAAGGAAAGCCACACGACUCAUUGUAUUAGAAGAAGGUCUCCACUCAGGCGCUUGAAGAUAUGGUCUUUACAUCUCUUUCCAGUAUUCCAGGGGAGGGAGCCCAACCUGUUUCCCAGAUACUGACUUUUCAUUUUAAUAAUGAUGCUCGUAUAGACAUUGUUUUGGAUCCCAGAACUUUCCAAACCUAUGGUUCCACCUAAUUUUUUUUUUAUCUGAUGACUUGUCACUUACUACCUAGGCCCCAACCAGUACAGUAGUGAGUAUUCAUCUUAUAUAGACUUCAGAGCCAACCCUUGGCUGUUAUGGAUGAACACCAUCCAGCUCCCCUUCUACUAUUCUGCUUGCCGGCGUGUUACACUGCUCUACAGUACAGGGUCCUCAACCUUGUUUCUCACUGGCUACUAAUAUGUAAUGGCUUUCCACUGUGUGCUGAUAUGUGACAAACACCUUGUUGGCUCUCUGUAUCAAGGAAGAAUUAUAGUCACUACUCUAAAGUGCUCAGAUCCUCAGUUUGCAGAAGGUCUGUAGUUGAACAGAAAGUGAAUUUUGAACCCUUGAGAAGACUUUGUUUUUCUUGAGCCAGUAGUUGAAUUCAUAUUCUCGGACAACCUGCUCAAGUGGGAGGUAGACCCUCUGUAAAAUACUGACCUAAUGUGGAUUGUUGAAGCAGUGGUGUUUACUACUAGCAGAGAAAACUUCACUGGAAAUGUUCCCAGCUCUGAAAUGCACCAUUGACUGGAGCAGUAAAUAAGCCCAAUGAAGACAGUGCUGUAAGUGUAUGACUUCUGAAUAUUAACAACUGGAGAUCGAUACUAUCUCCAAGGAUUUGAUGACCUUUAAAAGCUAAAGAAAAAACAGGUUUGUGGGUAAUUUAGGUUUACUUACAGAUUUGCACUGGGCACAAAUGAAUUGUUAGAAACCUAAAAUGUUGUAUCUGCACAGUAAUGCUGUGACUCAGAAUCUGGUGUAAUUUGGGCAUCUGGCUGAUGAUGGUUCUACUUCUCCAUUGUAUACACAGCAUGUUACAGAGUUGAGACUCCCUGCUCCUCCCUCUCUAAAUGGAAAUAAAUGUUUUUCUUCUUUCUCUCUUAA